AAUAAACAAAAUCUCCACAUGAUGUUUAUUUGCAUGUCUUUGCCCAGAUUUACCUUGAUCCAGUGGAAAGGAUGUCCUGUUAAAUAUUUCUGGCACUGGAUUCCCUUGAUUUCCAAAUAAGUGUUUGACUUGGCACAGCAUUCUAUGGACCUGCCCAUUAAUAUGUGCUUCUGAAUGUAAAGAUUUGUCACAUCAGAAAUAGAUUCAUGGUUUAUUUUUAACAUUCUUCAGCUAAACAGUGAUUUUCUUACGAAAGACAUUGGUGAAUGGAAAGAAUCUGAUGCUUAUCAGAAUUCACAAACCAAUAUUCAAGCAUUGAAAGUGGUCAAUGAUUGUGCUGAACGUGGUGUCAAGCUUAUCAUCGGCUAAGAAGGAAGAGCACUAUCAAAAUGUACUCAAAGUAGUUGAAGAUGAUCGCAAAGAGAGACCAAACUUACGUAAGCCCAGCGGCCAGCAAUAAGACAGUUUCAACUUUGUAAUAAGCCAACUGUAACAUGUUGUUCACUGUUCCGUCACUAAUU